CGUCCCCUUCUUGGUCAUUUAGAGGAAGUAAAAGUCGUAACAAGGUUUCGUAGGUGAACCUGCGGAAGGAUCAUUACAAGUGAGGCUACCGAACGUUGAAACAGCGGUUAGGAGCUUACACCCACCCGUGUUUACAUACUAUUGUUGUUUGGCGGGCCGUGGCCUCCACUGCGGGCUCUGCUCGUGUGUGCCCGCCGAGAACCAAACUCUGAAUGUUAGUGAUGUCUGAGUACUAUCUAAUAGUUAAACUUUCAACAACGGAUCUCUUGGUUCUGGCAUCGAUGAAGAACGCAGGAAAUGCGAUAAGUAAUGUGAAUUGCAGAAUUCAGUGAAUCAUCGAAUCUUGAACGCACAUUGCGCCCUGUGGUAUUCCGCAGGGCAUGCCUGUUCGACGUCAUUUAACCACUCACGCCUAGCGUGGUAUUGGGGCACGCGGUCUCCCGGCCCUCAAAAUUAGUGGCGGCGCCGGUGGGCUCUAAGCGUAGUACAUCUCCCGCUAUAGAGUUCCCCCCGGUGGCUCGCCAGAACCCCCAAUUUUUACAGGUUGACCUCGGAUCAGGUAGGGAUACCCGCUGAACUUAAGCAUAUAAUAAGCGGAGGA
rnacentral:rRNA from 1 species